rnacentral:rRNA from 1 species
GAUGAACGCUGGCGGCAUGCUUAACACAUGCCAGUCGAACGGGAAGUGGUGUUUCCAGUGGCGAACGGGUGAGUAACGCGUAAGAACCUGCCCUUGGGAGGGGAACAACAACUGGAAACGGUUGCUAAUACCCCGUAGGCUGAGGAGCAAAAGGAGAAAUCCGCCCAAGGAGGGGCUCGCGUCUGAUUAGCUAGUUGGUGAGGUAAUAGCUUACCAAGGCGAUGAUCAGUAGCUGGUCCGAGAGGAUGAUCAGCCACACUGGGACUGAGACACGGCCCAGACUCCUACGGGAGGCAGCAGUGGGGAAUUUUCCGCAAUGGGCGAAAGCCUGACGGAGCAAUGCCGCUUGGAGGUGGAAGGCCUACGGGUCGUCAACUUCUUUUCUCGGAGAAGAAACAAUGACGGUAUCUGAGGAAUAAGCAUCGGCUAACUCUGUG